GCUGGAUCAGCAGCAGCUGACAGAGCCACUGGAUCCAUGAGCAAGGAUAUGUAGCCAGUCACUGGGAUCACAACUUUUGACAAAACGUCAUCCUGCUUCCAAGGAAAAUGUCUGAGUUUGAGGACGUGGAUGCAGACUGACUGCAGGACUGCACCUCACCAGAUGAGGAAACUAAGAUAAAGAUCAGGAGAGCUGUCCAAAUCACACAGACAUUUACCCUGGGGCUGGAAAACUCCAAACACUUUUAACCUUGGUCCUACACACGAGGGAUGCAGCAGAGGGCAGGAUGCCAUUUUAAAGUCAGUCAUGCCCAAGGUCUUGCAACUUGUCCAGAAUAUUAAGCUUCUGAGAUGUGGAGCAUGGAAGUGACAGCACAAAUGCAUCUCUGAUUCAUCACUGAAUUGUUUGAUACACCAAGUAGCUUCAAUCAACAGAAACAAGUGAGGUUCAUAAAAUGUUCCUUUGUAGUUUUGUUUCUGCAGUAUUGGAUUAGCCAGAUAAGGCUACGGGAGGGCAGCCAACAGUGAUACUUGGAGAGCAGCAUGGAUGCCUCUUAAAGCAUUUGGAUGGUUGGCUCCAAGCAAGCAUCGUGCAGCAGCGAGUCUGAUCCAUCAUGAGUUUAGCCAUGUUGGCAGCCAGGACAGCAACAGAUGAGGAAAAUGCAAGCACAAGCAUUUUCUGCUCAGCAAAGGACCAGGACACCAGAAUGAGUCCUCAGCACUGAUUCUUGCAAGGAAAACCACCUGCUUUUGUUGU